AGCGAACGCUGGCGGCAGGCUUAACACAUGCAAGUCGAGCGGGCACUUCGGUGUCAGCGGCAGACGGGUGAGUAACACGUGGGAACGUACCCUUUGGUUCGGAAUAACGCUGGGAAACUAGCGCUAAUACCGGAUACGCCCUUUUGGGGAAAGGCUUGCUGCCGAAGGAUCGGCCCGCGUCUGAUUAGCUAGUUGGUGGGGUAAUGGCCUACCAAGGCGACGAUCAGUAGCUGGUCUGAGAGGAUGAUCAGCCACACUGGGGCUGAGACACGGCCCAGACUCCUACGGGAGGCAGCAGUGGGGAAUAUUGGACAAUGGGCGCAAGCCUGAUCCAGCCAUGCCGCGUGAGUGAUGAAGGCCUUAGGGUUGUAAAGCUCUUUUGUCCGGGACGAUAAUGACGGUACCGGAAGAAUAAGCCCCGGCUAACUUCGUG
rnacentral:rRNA from 1 species